rnacentral:rRNA from 1 species
GUGAGGAAUUUUCCGCAAUGGGCGAAAGCCUGACGGAGCAAUGCCGCGUGAAGGAUGAAGGCCUAUGGGUUGUAAACUUCUUUUCUCAGAAAAGAAUUAUGACGGUAUCUGAGGAAUAAGCAUCGGCUAACUCUGUGCCAGCAGCCGCGGUAAGACAGAGGAUGCAAGCGUUAUCCGGAAUGAUUGGGCGUAAAGCGUCUGUAGGUUGUUUAAAAAGUAUUCUGUCAAAGAUUAGGGCUUAACCCUAGAUAGGCAGAAUAAACUUUUAAGCUAGAGUGUGGUAGAGGCAGAGGGAAUUCCCGGUGGAGCGAUGAAAUGCGUAGAUAUCGGGAGGAACACCAAAGGCGAAGGCACUCUGCUGGGCCAAUACUAACACUGAGAGACGAAAGCGAGGGGAGCAAAUGGGAUUAGAAACCCUGGUAGUCC